AACCAGUAAAUAACUCUUCAGGUUUAAAACCUGUAGUUAUUUACCAUAACAGUGAACUGGACAAAACCCAAAUACUUCGUGAUAAUAAAGAUAAACCAGCUAUAUACCGUUGGAUUAAUAAUAUUAAUCAUAAAACAUAUGUGGGUAGUUCAGCGAACUUGACUGUAAGGCUAUACAAGUACUUUAGUAUUACACACUUAACUAAGUAUAAAACUCCCAUACACAAUGCUCUUUUAAAGUAUGGAUUUAAUAAUUUUAGUCUAGAAAUAUUAGAGUACUGUGAGCAUGGAAUAGAUCUUGUAAAUAGAGAACAAUACUAUUUUGAUCUUUUAAAACCUGAAUAUAAUAUUUUAAAGAUAGCAGGUUCUCCUUUAGGAUUCAAACAUAGCGAAAAAACCCUGGAAUUUUUCAGGAAUGAUCGUAAGGUGAGUGAGGAAACCAGAAAUAACCUAUCGUUGGCAGCAACAGGUAGAAUAUUAACUGAAAGUGAUAAAACAAAAAUAUCUAUAGCACGUAGAGGUAUUAAACUUUCAGAUGAAACUCGUGCGAGAAUUUCAGCCGCUACAAUAGCACUCAUUGGUGUAUCAGUUACAGUAAAAAAUGUAAAAACUGACACAGAAUUACAUUAUGAAAGCUUAACGGAUGCAGCUAAAGCAAUAGGUGUUAGUAGAACAGCGGUUAGAAAAGCCCUUGAUACAGGUAGAACUGUAAAAGGACAAUAUUUAGUGGCCACAAAAAAUUAAAAAGUAUUUUAUUAUUCGUUAAAUGGAUAGCUAUUUGCUAUUUAGGGAGAAGGACCUUAGCUCAGCCUAACAAAAAGGCUAAAGAGGUAGAUUUGUUUCCGCGAAACAUAUGUAAGUAUGUAGUUUAAAUAACAUCAUAGCAGGUACAGAACUGUAAUCUCGGACAAUUUGUGCAUUAAUAUCCUAUUAGGGUAUAUAAUGCCUUGUGCAUAUGGGGGGGUCGUGAAGACUCUAUUCGCGAGUAUUUGCUCUCGGAAGGGCAAUGAUGAGUGUUGAACUAUCAGACAUUUAACGAUAAGGUUGUGUGUCAAAAGGGAAACAGCCCAGAACAAGUGUUUAAGGUUCCAAAGUUUUUGUUAAGUGAAAGUAAGGAAGUAUUUAAACUAUACAACCAGGAAAUAGGCUUAGAAGCGGCCAUUUUUUAAAGACCUCGUAACAGAGCACUGGUUCAAAUGGUUAAUUCGUUAACCUAAUUAGUUAAAAGCGCCGAAGAUAUAACGGAUCUAAAACAAAACACCGACACCUUGUCCAUAAUAAUAAUAUUAGGUUAAAUCCUAGUUUACUAUACUUAAAGGUUAUUUAAGUAUUAUUUAUGGGGUAGCGGAACAUUGGGUAAAUAGGUUUUAAAUAGAUAGCACUCCCUACCCUUAGCUUAAUUGAAUUUGGGGAGAGGUCUUUUAUUAAUGUAUAAUAACUGACUAUAGAGGGUUACGUCUAUUUCAUAAUUACAUUUGUAAUUUGCUCGCUAUAUAGCGGGUUACCAUACAUAUCCCAAGUGAGAAUGCUGACACGAGUAACGAAAAAGAGGGAGAAAUUGGGCAAACCCAAUUGAACAGGAUAGAUUGAAGUACGUAGAUAAACUAAAUAGAUGAUACGACCCAACCUGUUGUAAGGUCCUCUCGCCUUAAGCUUAUGGGAAAGUUAAUCGGUCUCUAAAUUUAACCUAAAGGAUAAAAUGAUGAGGAAAAGUAUAUGUGACAACAUAAAAUGGAGUAAAAUGUUCUGGAAAAGCAUAUACUAAGCAAGGAAGGAGAAAUGGUUCUAGGUUAUAAACUAAAAAGAAGAUACUAGGCAUUUCUUUCUAUAGGGAAUAAACUAGAACAGAUGAUACUAGUUUCCUUGUUUAUACUAAAACCGUACCUAAAAACUACCACAAGUAAGCUAGUAGAGAAUACGAAGGCGUUUGAGCUAACAAUCAUUAAGGAACUCGGCAAAUUGACACCGUAACUGCGGGAGAAGGUGUGCCAUUCCUACUGAUUAAUAUCAGUUUAGGAAGAGGAGACAUAAAAUGGUGUUGCACGACUGUUUAAUUAAAACACAGCACUUUGCGUAAGAUGUAAAUCAAUGUAUAGAGUGCGCUAUCUGCCCAAUGAUGGCUGGUUAACGGAUUUACUUAGACGACUAAAAUAGCCUAGGUUUUGAAGGAACCCCCAUUUAAUGGCGGCCUUACCUAUAAGGGUCCUAAGGUAGCGAAAUACCUUGGCAUUUAAAUGAUGUCGCGCAUGAAUGAUCUCACGAUGCAACAGCUGUCUCAAUGAUUGGCUCAGUGAAACUGGAAUGGCAGUGAAGAUACUGCCUAUCUCUAGAUAGACGAGAAGACCCCAUGCAGCUUUACUGUUACUAGUUAUAGGGUAUAAUUUAACAGGUUUUAGGGAAUAAGGUAGUUGAACGACAAAAUUGAAACACCUUUACUCUGGUUGUUAUAUCAGUAGAAUAGGUUACAUUAUUGUAACUGACGUCUGAAUGUAAUCCAUAAAAGGAGGGAGAUUAUAUCAAGCUCAGGAGACAAUGGCUAGCAGAUGGUUUAUGCGGGGCACAGAUCCCAUAAAGAGUACCUGGGAGUAUCCAAAUUUAUUUUUGUAAUAUGCUAUACGCAAAUUAUAUGGGGCUUUUAUUAAAUAAUUGCCUUGUAUAUUUUAAUUUUUUAAUUACUAUAUUUAGUUUGUUAUUUUUUAUAUUUACUUUUAUAAAGUAUCUAUAACUAAUUCAGUUAUAUUUCUAUUUAAGUUAGAACUAAAACAAUUUAAUAUAAGUAAGAUUUUACCUAUGUGGAAAAUAGGUGUAUAUAUAGUAUUAAUAAUUAAUAUCUAAUGGUAAAAUAACAAUAUAGAGUAAAAGAAGAUAUAAUUAUAACACUAUUAGUUAUUUUUUUUUACAGAAUACCUGUAUAAGAGAAAUGAUGUUGAUAUAUACUUCAAAAGUUUAAUGGCUUAAUCUUGCUUUACUGUUUGACAUACACGUCUAUCAGUUGCGUAAGCAGGGCAUAAAGACCGCAAGACGCAGUAAGGAAAGGUCUUGUAUUAUUGAAAAAGCUACGCUGGGGAUAACAGGCUAAUUGCGCCAGAGAGUACAAAUUGAGUGCGCAGUUUGG
rnacentral:rRNA from 1 species